rnacentral:lncRNA from 1 species
GCCCGGUUAUCAGAAUUGGGGAGAAAUAAUUCCGGCUGCGUGUGAGUUAUGAUUCGAAUCUCUUUCUUUUUGCAAGCGAUUCUGCCACUCAAGUAGAUGCUGAUCACGAAACUCGGCCAUCUGGAUGAUUUCCUAUUGCUGCACACGACUAGUAUUUUCUUCAGUAGACUGCAAUCAAGUGUUAAUUAGCAAUUCAUUAGUCAAGGCACGCUGAAAACAUUGGGGCUGUGUGACUGUAUUUAGGCUGGUUGAGAGCAUCCUAUUCCUUAGUCUAACAUAGCCGUAAAAAAUAAAUAAUAAGGGAGAAGUGCAGCCAAGAUAGUGAAAGGACGAGUCUGUUCAUUUUGCUGCCUUUUAAACCCCAUCAGAUUGGGUCAAGCUCAUCCUAUUAGCAGGCACAGCUCAUGUCACUUGUGACUGCCUAUUUUUGUACAUUUUUUUGUGACUGCUCGGCUGUGUGCGUCCAAGGACUGUUCAGAGAAAUGUAUACAUUGUAAUUGACUGUUCAUUCUUGUUUGCAUGGUUUAAGAUUGGAGCAAGAAGACUGAUGUGAAAAGGGAGACAUCGCCUGGCAUGAUCAAAAAGGAGAUUUUGCGUGUAGAAGUAGAGCUGAUGAAGUGAAGUGUACCAGCUAAUUCCUAUGUUGGUACUUUCUCAUAACCUAUCUUCAUGUAUUAUCCAUCACAGUCCAUUUCUCUUGCAAUGUCAACAGUUUGUUUUUGGAAAAAUAAGUACUACUCCCUCUGUUCGGAAUUACUUGUCACAUGGAUGUAUCUACAACUAAAAUACAUCUAGAUACAUUCAUUUCUUGGACGAGUAAUUCCGAAUGGAGGGAGUAUUUGGUGCAUAUGUCUGCCAGCUGCCAAUUCUAUUGAGUAACACUAGUUUUUAAUUCACCUGAGCAAUUUAUUUUACAAAUUAAUUUAAAGUUCAGAGUGUGAAAACAUGGUGAUAACGGUACUUGAGAGGUUAGCAGAUACCCAGUUUUUUGGUUAUGAUGAGCCAUCUUCAUUCAUUAUGGUGAAAUGUUAUCAGCAACUGAUCUUUACUAAACUGUUCCAAAGAUUAUGGUGAACCCUCUUGCUUCACUUAUUGUCGCAACAGAAAAUAAACAAAGCAUAGUGCAGCGUUCAUAUGGCAUCUCAUUUUUGUAACUGUUCCAAAACAAUGUGGAUGGGAAUGUGCUUGUGCUGUUAUUUAUGUCUGAACUCAUGUUUCUGUUUACUUGUACUUAAAUGGAGCUCAAGAAGAAAAGGGUGAAUAUGCACUCUAAAAUAUAUCUAUAUACAUCCGUAUGUUGUAGUCCAUUUGAAAUGUCUAGAAAGACAAAUACUGGGGAACAGAGGGAGUAGAUUCUUCACCCACGCAAUAGGAAAACUGGGCUGUCAAGUCGGGGACUUCUUUCCUUUUGGCAUCUUUGACAUCACAGAGUUAGAUGAUCAUUUGCUUUUCUUUCAAUGCGUACUUAUCCUUGCCAAUCAAUCGGUUUAAAUUACAGAAAAAAGGAUUUACAAUUCAUGUCAUAGUAUCACUUUUAUUCAGCUAUUUGAUAUAACAGUUUAAAUUACAGAAAAAAGGAUUUACAAUUCCUGUCAUAAUUAUCUAUUUGAUAUUUGCAUCUCUUUUUGUUUCAUCAGGUUCUCAGUCACCAAAAGAAGCAACAAUAAACAACCUGGAUGGAUAAAUUUCUCUCGGGUUCUCAAAGCUAGAUGAUCAUGACACCACAAGAUGGAUACAUGUGUCUGCACGUUGUUGAAAUGAACUAUUGUUGUCGUAAUGAAUUGUUGUUGUCGAAGAUCACGUUGUUUGAUAAAUUAUGAUUGCUGAGAUUUGAGAUUCGAAGUCACGCUGUUAUGAUAAAUUAUGUUCUUGCUGUGAUGAGAUAUUGAUUUCAAAUCGUGCAAAAUUAUGUUGCUUCUAAAUUAUUCUCUUGUCGCUGCUAAAUUAUGUUGCUGAUUUUCUUUUGUACAAGGCUGUAGCAAGGAUAUAAGGGGAGUUAAUUACAUUAUAAAGAUUGGAUUUUUAAG